rnacentral:rRNA from 1 species
UACAGAGGUCCCGAGCGUUUGUUCGGAUUCACUGGGCGUAAAGGGUGCGUAGGUGGUGAGGUAAGUCGGAUGUGAAAUCUCCGGGCUCAACCCGGAAAUGGCAUUGGAAACUACCUUGCUGGAGGAUUUGAGGGGGGAUUGGAAUACUUGGUGUAGCAGUGAAAUGCGUAGAUAUCAAGUGGAACACCAGUGGCGAAGGCGAAUCCCUGGAAAAUACCUGACACUGAGGCACGAAAGCUAGGGGAGCGAACAGG